ACCAAAACAAGAUCAGAAUCAAAUUUGUACUUCAGGCAGAAAGGAAAGACUUGACCUCUCACCUGGAAAAUACAAGAUAUUCUGUAAGGGAAAAUGUAGGAGGAAAGGAGGCAGGAAAGAAGUUGGAAUAAGAAGAGCUUUAUGAAUCUACAGCCAAGCAAUGCAUAUGUUUGCAUUUCUGUUUAGAAUAUCAAAGCAAAAAUUGUUCCAGACAAAGAAAGGUAAGGAAUACCAUAUUCAAGGUUAUUGCAACAGAGUCCAGAAUGCAGUCUAAACUCAACUCCACUGAAACAGCCACAAUCUAAAGAGUUAGUAAACUUGGGGUGGGAAAUUGUAGGCCAU